UGAGGUAGUAGGUUGUGUG
rnacentral:ncRNA from 2 species